rnacentral:rRNA from 1 species
UACGUAGGGUGCGAGCGUUGUCCGGAAUUAUUGGGCGUAAAGGGCUCGUAGGCGGUCUGUUGCGUCAGGAGUGAAAACUCGGGGCUUAACCCCGAGCCUGCUUCUGAUACGGGCAGACUAGAGGUAUGCAGGGGAGAACGGAAUUCCUGGUGUAGCGGUGAAAUGCGCAGAUAUCAGGAGGAACACCGGUGGCGAAGGCGGUUCUCUGGGCAUUACCUGACGCUGAGGCGCGAAAGCUAGGGGAGCAAACAGG